rnacentral:rRNA from 1 species
GCUUAUCACCAUUCCACAUUGAAUAUACCCGAUCUCGUCUGAUCUCGGAAGACAAGCAAUCUCGGGCUUGGUUAGUUGGAGGAU